rnacentral:lncRNA from 1 species
GGUUUUUUUUUUGUCUCCACUUCUUUUGUUUGUUUGUUUUUUCGGUACUGGGAAUUGAACUCAUGACGUUGCGCUUGCCAGGCCGCUGAGCUAAAUCCCCAGCCCCAAUCCCCCCACCCCCUGCCCCUGGGUACCAGGGAUCGAACUCACGACCUUGUGCUUGCUGGGCAGGCGCUGUGCCACUGAGCUAAACCCCCAGCCCCAGGUUUUUUGUUUGUCUGUUUGUUUGGUACCGGCAAUUGAACUCUGGACCUUGCACUUGCCAGGCAGGCGCUUAUGCCAGUGAGCUACAUUCCCAGCCCAGGGCUCAGGUUGAAAACUGCCUGGGUGGGACUUUGGAGUGUUUGCAGCACCAGUCUAGAGAACUUGAGCUUCAUUUGACAGUGGAGCAAGCCACGCAUACAGGAGGGGCAAACGCCUGUCUUGCCAGACACUGAGCUCGUUCCGCCUUAUCCCAGAGCCUGGGAGGCUUUUUGUUGCCUGUACCUGCACGACAUCAAGCAGAGCUUGAGGAAGGGAGUCGAAUCUAAACAGGGCUAACCUCCGCCGACCCCUGGCCGUGCUUGCAAAAUGCCCCAGACCCGGCCCGACGGCUGAGCACCCCUAGCAGCGCCUCCGGAGCCUCGGCCAGGAGGUGGCCUUUGUCUUUGACCUCCUUAUCCCCGUGAGGCCGUCCCUGAUGGAAAUCGGCGCAGGUACAUUCCUGGCAUUCCUACCCCGCCUGCCAGGACCUCGUCAGUCCGUGCUCCGUACGGCAGCACCCCACAGACCCCCCAGGGCCCUGGAAGACACCAGAGACCGCGAAUGAAACAGCACUGGGGUUCCUUCUCCAGCAAGCGCAGCCACCGUCAGGGACAUACGGAGGCAAACGCCGCCAGGUGCAGGGAAAGCGGGCCUGUGCCACGUUGCCGGUGAGACUGGAGAUGCGGACGCUAGUGUGGACGAUCCACGCACACCCGUGUUUACAGCAGCACAAUUACUCACAACCGCUAGAUCUUGGAAGCAGCCUACGUGUCCAUCAACAGACGACGGUGUACAGAACGUGCGGUGUUAACACGCUGUGGAGUACUACUCUGCCACAAAGAAGGAUGAACUUGCGGCACUGGUAGGGAAAUGGGUGGAUGCACCUUGAGGCCAUAACGUGAAGGGAAAUAAACCAGACGCACAGGUUUAAGAAGCACGUGUUUUCUCUUGGAUGGGAAACCCAGAGCGUGAGGAAACUGAACUGCGAAAGAAAAGCUAGUAGGAAGCGGGGAGAUAGAUCUUCCCUACAUGGGAAGGAGCCCAAGCGACGGGGGAGGGGAGCAGGAAGGGAGGGAGAGAACAAAAGGACAGACGCCUUCCGCAUGC